rnacentral:rRNA from 1 species
AGUGAACGCUGGCGGUAGGCCUAACACAUGCAAGUCGAACGGCAGCACAGUAAGAGCUUGCUCUUACGGGUGGCGAGUGGCGGACGGGUGAGGAAUACAUCGGAAUCUACCUUUUCGUGGGGGAUAACGUAGGGAAACUUACGCUAAUACCGCAUACGACCUACGGGUGAAAGCAGGUGAUCUUCGUACCUUGCGCGAUUGAAUGAGCCGAUGUCGGAUUAGCUAGUUGGCGGGGUAAAGGCCCACCAAGGCGACGAUCCGUAGCUGGUCUGAGAGGAUGAUCAGCCACACUGGAACUGAGACACGGUCCAGACUCCUACGGGAGGCAGCAGUGGGGAAUAUUGGACAAUGGGCGCAAGCCUGAUCCAGCCAUACCGCGUGGGUGAAGAAGGCCUUCGGGUUGUAAAGCCCUUUUGUUGGGAAAGAAAAGCAGCAGGUUAAUACCCCGCUGUUCUGACGGUACCCAAAGAAUAAGCACCGGCUAACUUCGUG